UUUUUUAGUGAUAAUGAUGAUCAUCUUCCAGAUACAAGUGCUAAAAUGACAGAAGAAAGCAUUGAUCCAGAUUUGGAGAAUGCAAGCAGCAUUGAGUUUGUUACCCUCUGUCAACAUGAAAGUGCACUGACCAGCCUGUAUUCUUCAAAUGAUGACAUUUCAGGUACAGCAUGUUUAUCAUUUUAUAAUAAAGCUCUCAA